GUUCUCCGCUCUCGAACUUAAGUCGAAUAAAUCUUGACAUAUGACAGACGAAGGGGUUUGACGAGUUAUCCAUGACCUCCAUCUUGUAGAGAUCCACGAUAGAAGGACUGUAUCACAUGAUAACUGCACCUAGAGGUUCAUCAUUCUAUUCUGCUGGGUAGCCACUACAUGCUGCUAGGUGUCACUGGUGGAUGGUGGGACUCACAGGGAUUAUCUCGAUGAUCAAU
rnacentral:lncRNA from 1 species